CAUUGUGGUGAAGUGGAUGAUCCUAUGCUGCCGAGAAAAGCCUCUAGUGAGUGUUGUGGCGGCCCGUACCCUAAACCGACUCAGGUGGUCAGGUAGAGAAUACCAAGCGAUCGGGUGAACUGUGGUUAAGGAACUCGGCAAAUUGCCCCCGUAACUUCGGGAGAAGGGGGACCUCUGCUGGUGAUGGGCUUUACGUUCUGAGCUGGUGGGGGUCGCAGUGGCCAGGGGGAAGCGACUGUUUACUAAAAACACAGGUCCGUGCGAAGUCGUAAGACGAUGUAUACGGACUGACGCCUGCCCGGUGCCGGAACGUUAAGGGGACCGCUUAGCCAGCUUCGGUUGGCGAAGGUGAGAACUUAAGCGCCGGUAAACGGCGGUGGUAACUAUAACCAUCCUAAGGUAGCGAAAUUCCUUGUCGGGUAAGUUCCGACCUGCACGAAUGGCGUAACGACUUCCCCGCUGUCUCAACCACAGACCCGGCGAAAUUGCACUACGAGUAAAGAUGCUCGUUUCGCGCAGCAGGACGGAAAGACCCCGGGACCUUCACUACAGCUUGACAUUGGCGUUUGGAACGUCUUGUGUAGGAUAGGUGGGAGACUGGGAAGCUGUCACGCUAGUGAUGGUGGAGUCAUUGGUGAAAUACCACUCUGGUCGUUUUGAACGUCUAACUCUGGUCCGUGAUCCGGAUCGGGGACAGUGUCUGGUGGGUAGUUUAACUGGGGCGGUUGCCUCCUAAAGAGUAACGGAGGCGCCCAAAGGUUCCCUCAGCCUGGUUGGCAAUCAGGUGUUGAGUGUAAGUGCACAAGGGAGCUUGACUGUGAGACUGACAGGUCGAGCAGGAGCGAAAGCUGGGACUAGUGAUCCGGCAUCGGCGUGUGGAAGCGGUGUCGCUCAACGGCUAAAAGGUACCCCGGGGAUAACAGGCUGAUCUUCCCCAAGAGUCCAUAUCGACGGGAUGGUUUGGCACCUCGAUGUCGGCUCGUCGCAUCCUGGGGCUGGAGUAGUCCCAAGGGUUGGGCUGUUCGCCCAUUAAAGCGGUACGCGAGCUGGGUUUAGAACGUCGCGAGACAGUUCGGUCCCUAUCCGCUGCGCGCGCAGGAGACUUGAAGGGGGCUGUCCCUAGUACGAGAGGACCGGGACGGACGAACCUCUGGUGUGCCAGUUGUACCGCCAGGUGCACGGCUGGUUGGUUACGUUCGGAAGGGAUAACCGCUGAAAGCAUCUAAGCGGGAAGCUCGCCUUGAGAUGAGGUCUCCCACCCUGUGAGGGGGUAAGGCUCCCGGUAGAUCACCGGGUUGAUAGGCCGGAGGUGGAAGCACGGUAACGUGUGGAGCUGACCGGUACUAAUAGGCCGAGGACUUGACC
rnacentral:rRNA from 1 species